rnacentral:rRNA from 1 species
GAUGAACGCUGGCAGCGUGCCUAAUACAUGCAAGUCGAGCGAACGGACGAGAAGCUUGCUUCUCUGAUGUUAGCGGCGGACGGGUGAGUAACACGUGGAUAACCUACCUAUAAGACUGGGAUAACUUCGGGAAACCGGAGCUAAUACCGGAUGAUAUUUUGAACCGCAUGGUUCAAAAGUGAAAGACGGUCUUGCUGUCACUUAUAGAUGGAUCCGCGCUGCAUUAGCUAGUUGGUAAGGUAACGGCUUACCAAGGCAACGAUGCAUAGCCGACCUGAGAGGGUGAUCGGCCACACUGGAACUGAGACACGGUCCAGACUCCUACGGGAGGCAGCAGUAAGGAAUCUUCCGCAAUGGGCGAAAGCCUGACGGAGCAACGCCGCGUGAGUGAUGAAGGUCUUCGGAUCGUAAAACUCUGUUAUUAGGGAAGAACAUAUGUGUAAGUAACUGUGCACAUCUUGACGGUACCUAAUCAGAAAGCCACGGCUAACUACGUG